rnacentral:siRNA from 1 species
GGAGUAAGAUGGUCUUUAUGGUC